AUGCAGGGGUCCCUCUUCAAGAACUUAGGUGUUGUGUGUGUCCUUGCAGGUAACUCUAUCAACAGGAUAGGGAGUCCCAAAUUGCUGCCGUCAGACACCACUCAGCUUCCUGGCCCCCGCCCCUCGCCGCUUGUUCAGGAGGACGAGCUGCAUAGUAGCAACCACCUCCCGGACCUCAGCAACAAUGUGAUGGAUAGUGAUGAAGAAGAGGAAUUGGCUCAGGCACUGGAGGAGGAACCUGAAGAGGACAACCAGUUUGAUGUGAUCCAGCUGUACUCAGAGAAGGCCACUGUCUCCAGCCUGGGUGCCCCAGGGACAGGGGGUGCAGAAUCUCCAAUCUUUGGCUGUGCUUCACCAGCUCUGCUGCUGGUUCUUCUGCUAUCAGCAUCACUUAGCUGGGGGUAGAUCUGAUGAACAGUGUACACGCAUAAACACACACAUACACACACACACACACACACACAAUGACCUCACAUCCCUGGAUUUAAACGUAGAAGAAUGAUAAUGAAGAAAUGGACUUCAUCUUUGUUUGUAAUCCCCCUUCCCAAUUCUGUCUUCAUUGUCCCUUUGUGAACAGCAAGCAGAGUCAUUCUGGUUUGUCUGGGAGGGGGUGGGGAUGGGAUCUUUAUGAUCCUUGACUCCCAUGUACAUAUGAACUUUGCUCCAUUUGCCGGAACUGAUGCAAGAGCAGCUGCAGCUGGGAGGAGAAAGGGCAGUUCGUCUUCAUCGGCUAUCAUUAUUCCAGUCUCAUGUCACUCAGCUUCAGAAAUGAAAGAUGGAGCGACAAAGCGCGAGCAGGAGAAACGAGGGAAAUGCUGACUGCUGCUUCAUUGCUGUCUAAGCUGCUGCCCUGAAAUAUGUGUAAAUUACCUAUUCAGGUGUGUCUUUCCAUGGUUACUCUCAUUUCGAUGAAGCCUAGAAUUCAUGGGAACAGCUGUGUAAAGUUUAUUCUCACAGAAAAACAGAAAUACUAAAGACUGAUCAGAAAAUAUUUAAAAAAAAGAAAAAAAAGCAUGAAAUGAAGAGUCUGUGAAAGUGAGCAUCCACUUCAGAACAGUAGUUCCAAGUCAACUGAUCAGCUAGCUGUUCUGUUUCAACAUCAGUUUGUUCAAUGUCAACAUGGCUUCACUCUGCUGCAUCAAUAAACAUGUCAACAUUCAACUGAAUUACAAUUACUUUUUAUUGUUUUAAUUUAACUCUGCUGAAUAUGAGGAAAGAUAAGCUUUAAUUCUGAAAAAGCGACGAUUGAUGUCACAUCGUCAAAGGAUUGAUGGAUCUCUGACAGAAACCUCAGAAGUUUCUGAGGGUACUCGUAAAGACCCACUGUGAUCAUAUUUUGAUCUACUUUUAAAUUAUUCCCAGUGGUCUUUUAAUAAAGAUUUUACCGUUUAGCCAAAAUUAAAAAAUCCUGUGUUUUUUAAGGACAUAUGUUCUGCAGAGCGGUAGUAUGUAAAUUUGCCUCUGAGUUGUGGGUGGGACUGUUUGUUUCUUUCCCAUCAUCCAUCUGUUUAUGUGCUCUCCCACUAGCUUACAGCCCCUCCUAGCCCCAACCUAACAGCAGUACAACAAAAAUUGCGAUUGAUAUUGGAGCUAUCCAGGAAAUGAAAACGUAUGGAUCUAUUUGUCUACACGUGGAUGCACCAGAAUGGAGCUGAGCAGGGAGCUUGUGGCCCGCCCUUGUAGUUUCUACGUCAUAUCUACAAGCAUUUUCUAACAGCAUAUUUCGUCAGCUCCUUAUUCAAAAGAAUUUGUUUGAGGAAAUACUCAAAAAUGCAAUUCCAAUCUUAAUUGUCUUUACAUAUGUCUUCUAUCAUAAGAAAAAUGCCACAAGGACACCAAAAAGAUGAUUUUUAUUAGAGUUGGACUGUAACCCUUGUGCAAUCUUAGAUGACUCCACCCUUACAUUGACGUGUUCUCCCUACCAUGACAAAGGUGGAUAAAGGUGGAAAGAUUUCAUGUAAUCCAUGGACACCAGUGAAGAUCACAAAUCAUUGAAGAAUAAAGGUUCAGCACACUGUCUAGUGGGUCUAGAUGACCCAACUCCCAAUGUUAAAGUGCCUAGGAUAGCACAAGGGUUAAAGGUGUCUGAUAGGUGUGUGACAGUUAUCUGACAAGUGUCUGAAAAUAGUCUAAAAGGUAUUUGCAGGUAUGUGGCUAAUGUCUAAGUGUUUUCUCUCAGACAGAUGUCUGAUGGGUCUGCGACAGGUGUCUGAUAAUUGUCUGACUGUUCUUUGUUAUGAAUCUGACACUUAUUUGACAAGUGUUUGACCUGUGUCUGAUGGGUCUUUGAAAGGUGUCUGAUGUCUAUGCGACAGGUCUCUGAAGGGUAUCUUACAGAUGUCUGACAGAGGUUGGACAUGUCUUAACCAUUGUACUAUCCAAUGGAGUCAAGUUGACCAUUGACGUGUUCUCCCUACCAUGACAAAGGUGGAUAAAGGUGGAAAGACUUCAUGUAAUCCAUGGACACCAGUGAAGAUCACAAAUCAUUAAAGAAAAAAGGUUCAGCGCACUGUCUUGUGGGGUCUAGAUGACCUCACUCCCAAUGUCAAAGUGCCUAGGAUAACACAAGGGUUAAAAUAAUGACUGACUGACGAAUGACAGGCCGCCAUUGGAAACCUAACGACAGCUUCCCUAUAAGUCUAAAACAGGUUUCUGACAGAAUAGCAAUCAGUGUUGAUGGGCCACUAAAAAAUCCUAAAAAGUGUCUACCAAAUCUCUCAGUGGUUGGUUUCUGAUGGGUUUGUAAUUGGUGCUUUGCUCUGAAAUGAUGGGUCUCUGACACGCGCCUUACAGAUAAUUUACUGUGGUGUUAAGGGUGACUAACCUCUGGGGUCUACAACAGGUGUGUGGUUGGUGACUGAUGGGUUCAUGAAAGGUGUCUUGCUUUAUUUUUUAUGAGCAUUUAUGCUUUUAUGUAAAGAGCUUUGUGCUUCAACCUGAACAAAAAGUGCUAAACUAAUAAAGUCUGAAGUUCUUUGUCACUUCAGACCUUCUAAACCAUAGCUCUUCCUGUAAUAUCUUGUUUAUAGACUGUCUCUAAAUCUACAAAGACAAAAUGCAGCUCCU
rnacentral:lncRNA from 1 species